rnacentral:rRNA from 1 species
CGCUGGCGGCGUGCCUAAUACAUGCAAGUAGAACGCACAGUUAUACCGUAGCUUGCUACACCAUAGACUGUGAGUUGCGAACGGGUGAGUAACGCGUAGGUAACCUGCCUGGUAGCGGGGGAUAACUAUUGGAAACGAUAGCUAAUACCGCAUAAUAUUAAUUAUUGCAUGAUAAUUGAUUGAAAGGUGCAAUUGCACCACUACCAGAUGGACCUGCGUUGUAUUAGCUAGUAGGUGAGGUAACGGCUCACCUAGGCGACGAUACAUAGCCGACCUGAGAGGGUGAUCGGCCACACUGGGACUGAGACACCGGCCCAGACUCCUACGGGAGGCAGCAGUAGGGAAUCUUCGGCAAUGGACGAAAGUCUGACCGAGCAACGCCGCGUGAGGUUAGAAGAAGGUUUUCGGAUCGUAAAGCUCUGUUGUAAGAGAAGAACGGGUGUGAGAGUGGAAAGUUCACACUGUGACGGUAUCUUACCAGAAAGGGACGGCUAACUACGUGCCAGCAGCCGC